UUAAAACCUUAAUGCUGACUGAAUGGAAGAGUUCAGUUUAGGGUUUAAAACCCUAAUGUUGACUGAAUGGAAAAAGUUCAGUUUAGGGUUUAAAACCCUAAUGCUGACUAAAUGGAAGAGUUCCGCUUAGGGUUUAAAACCCUAAUGCUGACUUAAAUGAAAAGAGUUCAGUUUAGGGUUUAAAACCCUAAUACUGACUGAAUGGAAAAAGUUCAGUUUAAGGUUUAAAUCCCUAAUGCUGACUAAAAGGAAAAAGUUCAGUUUAGGGUUUAAAACCCUAUUGCUGACUAAAGGAAAAAGUUGAGUUUAGGGUUUAAAAUCCUAAUGCUGACUGAAUGGAAAAAGUUCAGUUUAGGGUUUAAAACCCUAAUGCUGACUGAAGGAAAAAGUUCAGUUUAGAGUUUAAAACUCUAAUGCUAACUGAAUGGAAAAAGUUCAGUUUAGGGUUUAAAACCCUAAUGCUGACUAAAGGAAAAGAGUUCAGUUUAGGGUUUAAAACCCUAAUGCUGACUAAAGGAAAAAGUUCAGUUUAGGGUUUAAAACCCUAAUGCUGACUAAAGGAAAAAGUUCAGUUUAGGAUUUAAAACCCUAAUGUUGACUGAAUGGA
rnacentral:lncRNA from 1 species